GACGAACGCUGGCGGCGUGCCUAAUACAUGCAAGUUGAGCGCUGAAGGUUGGUACUUGUACCGACUGGAUGAGCAGCGAACGGGUGAGUAACGCGUGGGGAAUCUGCCUUUGAGCGGGGGACAACAUUUGGAAACGAAUGCUAAUACCGCACAAAAACUUUAAACACAAGUUUUAAGUUUGAAAGAUGCAAUUGCAUCACUCAAAGAUGAUCCCGCGCUGUAUUAGCUAGUUGGUGAGGUAAAGGCUCACCAAGGCGAUGAUACAUAGCCGACCUGAGAGGGUGAUCGGCCACAUUGGGACUGAGACACGGCCCAAACUCCUACGGGAGGCAGUAGUAGGGAAUCUUCGGCAAUGGACGAAAGUCUGACCGAGCAACGCCGCGUGAGUGAAGAAGGUUUUCGGAUCGUAAAACUCUGUUGGUAGAGAAGAACGUUGGUGAGAGUGGAAAGCUCAUCAAGUGACGGUAACUACCCAGAAAGGGACGGCUAACUACGUGCCAGCAGCCGCCGCGG
rnacentral:rRNA from 1 species